GUGAGCCCUAGGUCCAGAUGCUCACACUGGCGCAGGUCUGUCCUGAGCCGACACCUGCACAGUGGCGAGACCAAGGACCCAGAGAGAAAGGUGAGAGUGCAGCCGGGGAGGCUAAGGAUCGGCGGAGCUGGAAGAGUGAGGGUGAAGGCAAGAAGUAGAGCACAGAAGCAAAGAUUUUAAGAGGAAAGAAGACAUCUGAACCCAACACCACCCUAAACUACAGGCUGCAGGGUUGGCAUGCUCCGUGCAAGACCAGAGGCACUGAUGCUCCUGGGAGCUCUUCUGACUGGAUCCCUGGAUCCAUCGGGCAGUCAGGACGCACUCUCACUGCCCUGGGAAGUGCAGCGCUAUGACGGCUGGUUUAACAACCUGAGGCACCACGAGCGUGGUGCUGUUGGUGCGUUCUGGGGGCCCGGGCGUGCUGGGGCCGUGGCUCGCGAAGGGCCGGGGCGCGAAAGGCCCUGAGCGGGGAAUCUGCGGGGAACACGCGCCCAGCAGCUCCGCUGCCUACACAGCUCAAUCUUAUGCGCUCCCGGGGCCAAGAGACCCUUGAGGGAAGGUUCUGUCAGUGAAGUGGG
rnacentral:lncRNA from 1 species